AUAGAGAACAGUACUGUGAAGGAAAGAUGGAAAGGACUCUAAAAAAGGGAUUGAAAAGGAUUGAAAUCUAA
rnacentral:rRNA from 1 species